AGAGUUUGAUCCUGGCUCAGAUUGAACGCUCGCGCCAUGCCUUACACAUGCAAGUCGAACGGCAGCACGGACUUCGGUCUGGUGGCGAGUGGCGAACGGGUGAGUAAUAUAUCGGAACGUGCCCUGGAGUGGGGGAUAACUAGUCGAAAGAUUAGCUAAUACCGCAUACGAUCUAUGGAUGAAAGUGGGGGAUCGCAAGACCUCAUGCUCGUGGAGCGGCCGAUAUCUGAUUAGCUAGUUGGUGGGGUAAAAGCCUACCAAGGCAUCGAUCAGUAGCUGGUCUGAGAGGACGACCAGCCACACUGGGACUGAGACACGGCCCAGACUCCUACGGGAGGCAGCAGUGGGGAAUUUUGGACAAUGGGGGCAACCCUGAUCCAGCAAUGCCGCGUGAGUGAAGAAGGCCUUCGGGUUGUAAAGCUCUUUUGUCAGGGAAGAAACGGUCCGGGCUAAUAUCCUGGGCUAAUGACGGUACCUG
rnacentral:rRNA from 1 species